rnacentral:rRNA from 1 species
GGGGGACUCCGAGUGCGAGGGCAUAUAGUCCUCGCUUUUCUCGACCCUAAGGUGGUCGAGGAAGAAGCGCUGGGCAAGACCGGUGCCAGCCGCCGCGGUAAUACCGGCAGCGCAAGUGAUGGCCGUUGUUAUUGGGCCUAAAGCGUCCGUAGCCGGCCGAGCAAGUCCGUUGGGAAAUCCACCCGCUCAACGGGUGGGCGACCAGCGGAAACUGCUCGGCUUGGGACCGGAGGACCCGAGGGGUACGUCCGGGGUAGGAGUGAAAUCCCGUAAUCCUGGACGGACCGCCGAUGGCGAAAGCACCUCGGGAGGACGGAUCCGACGGUGAGGGACGAAAGCUAGGGUCUCGAACCGGAUUAGAUACCCGGGUAGUCCUAGCCGUAAACGAUGCCCGCUAGGUGUGGCGCAGGCUACGAGCCUGCGCUGUGCCGUAGGGAAGCCGAGAAGCGGGCCGCCUGGGAAGUACGUCCGCAAGGAUGAAACUUAAAGGAAUUGGCGGG